rnacentral:rRNA from 1 species
AGAGUUUGAUCAUGGCUCAGGAUGAACGCUAGCGAUAGGCCUAACACAUGCAAGUCGAGGGGCAGCACAUGAAGUAGCAAUACGGAUGGUGGCGACCGGCGCACGGGUGAGUAACGCGUAUGCAACCUGCCUACAACAGGGGAAUAACCCGUUGAAAGACGGACUAAUACCCCAUAACACAGGGAUCCCGCAUGGGAAUAUUUGUUAAAGAUUUAUCGGUUGUAGAUGGGCAUGCGUUCCAUUAGCUGGUUGGUGAGGUAACGGCUCACCAAGGCAACGAUGGAUAGGGGAACUGAGAGGUUUAUCCCCCACACUGGUACUGAGACACGGACCAGACUCCUACGGGAGGCAGCAGUGAGGAAUAUUGGUCAAUGGACGCAAGUCUGAACCAGCCACGUCGCGUGAAGGAAGACGGCCCUACGGGUUGUAAACUUCUUUUGUAAGGGAAUAAAGUGCAGUACGUGUACUGUUUUGCAUGUACCUUACGAAUAAGGAUCGGCUAACUCCGUGCCAGCAGCCGCGGUAAUACGGAGGAUCCGAGCGUUAUCCGGAUUUAUUGGGUUUAAAGGGUGCGCAGGCGGGAGAUUAAGUCGGCGGUGAAAUUUUGCAGCUCAACUGUAAAAGUGCCUUCGAAACUGGUUUUCUUGAGUGUGGAUGAAGUAGGCGGAAUUUGUGGUGUAGCGGUGAAAUGCAUAGAUAUCACGAGGAACUCCGAUUGCGCACGCAGCUUACUAAACCAUAACUGACGCUCAGGCACGAAGGCGUGGGGAUCAAACAGGAUUAGAUACCCUGGUAGUC